AGAGUUUGAUCCUGGCUCAGGAACGAACGCUGGCGGCGUGCCUAAUACAUGCAAGUCGAGCGAAUCAAUAGGAGCUUGCUCCUGUUGGUUAGCGGCGGACGGGUGAGUAACACGUGGGCAACCUGCCUGUAAGACUGGGAUAACACCGGGAAACCGGUGCUAAUACCGGAUAAUUCUUUUCCUCUCAUGAGGAAAAGCUGAAAGUCGGUUUCGGCUGACACUUACAGAUGGGCCCGCGGCGCAUUAGCUAGUUGGUGAGGUAAUGGCUCACCAAGGCGACGAUGCGUAGCCGACCUGAGAGGGUGAUCGGCCACACUGGGACUGAGACACGGCCCAGACUCCUACGGGAGGCAGCAGUAGGGAAUCUUCCGCAAUGGACGAAAGUCUGACGGAGCAACGCCGCGUGAGUGAUGAAGGCUUUCGGGUCGUAAAACUCUGUUGUUAGGGAAGANCAAGUAUGAGAGUANCUGCUCCUACCUUGACGGUACCUAACCANAAAGCCNCGGCUAACUACNUGCUANCAGCCNCGGUANUUC
rnacentral:rRNA from 1 species